rnacentral:rRNA from 1 species
GAUGAACGCUAGCGGCAGGCCUAAUACAUGCAAGUCGAACGGGAUUAAGAGGCUUGCUUCUUAUGAGAGUGGCGCACGGGUGCGUAACACGUAUGCAACCUACCUUCAACUGGGGGAUAGCCUUCCGGAAGGGCGAUUAAUACCGCAUAACAUAAUUAAACGGCAUCGCUUACUUAUCAAACUUCCAGGGGUUGAAGAUGGGCAUGCGUCCGAUUAGUUAGUUGGUGAGGUAACGGCUCACCAAGACAUCGAUCGGUAGGGGAUCUGAGAGGAUUGCCCCCCACACUGGUACUGAGACACGGGCCAGACUCCUACCGGAGGCAGCAGUAAGGAAUAUUGGUCAAUGGACGCAAGUCUGAACCAGCCAUGCCGCGUGCAGGAAGACGGUCCUCUGGAUUGUAAACUGCUUUUGUUAGGGAAGAAACCCUCGGAUGCGUUCGAGGCUGACGGUACCUAAAGAAUAAGGAUCGGCUAACUUCGUGCCAGCCGCCGCGGUAACAC